AUUAAUUUAUAUAGUUUAAUAAAAACAUUACAAUUUCAAUGUAAAAUUAGAUUUUAUCUUAUAAAUA
rnacentral:tRNA from 1 species